rnacentral:ribozyme from 1 species
ACCAAAACGACGCUGAUUCUGGAAUAGAACCGAAGCUUCCGAAAUGAUAACAUAGGUAUUCCAUUUCUCUGUUCGUAUUCAAUACAUCCAUGGCGUACAACUGGUAAAAAGUCUCUCCAAAUAUAUAUCAGCUAAAGUAUACAGAGAAACUCAACCGAUUGGAUGAUAUGGCGAAUUUGCGUGGA